rnacentral:rRNA from 1 species
AUUGAACGCUGGCGGAAUGCCUUACACAUGCAAGUCGAACGGCAGCACGGGAGCUUGCUCCUGGUGGCGAGUGGCGAACGGGUGAGUAAUACAUCGGAACGUACCCAGUUAUGGGGGAUAACUAACCGAAAGGUUAGCUAAUACCGCAUACGCCCUGAGGGGGAAAGCGGGGGACCGUAAGGCCUCGCGUAAUUGGAGCG